UGAACAGUUUCGUUGGAUCUGU
rnacentral:miRNA from 1 species